rnacentral:rRNA from 1 species
UGGGGAAUUUUGGACAAUGGGGGAAACCCUGAUCCAGCCAUCCCGCGUGUGCGAUGAAGGCCUUCGGGUUGUAAAGCACUUUUGGCAGGAAAGAAACGUCGCGGGUUAAUACCCCGCGGAACUGACGGUACCUGCAUGAAUAAGCACCGGCUAACUACGUGCCAGCAGCCGCGGUAAUACGUAGGGUGCAAGCGUUAAUCGGAAUUACUGGGCGUAAAGCGUGCGCAGGCGGUUCGGAAAGAAAGAUGUGAAAUCCCAGAGCUUAACUUUGGAACUGCAUUUUUAACUACCGGGCUAGAGUGUGUCAGAGGGAGGUGGAAUUCCGCGUGUAGCAGUGAAAUGCGUAGAUAUGCGGAGGAACACCGAUGGCGAAGGCAGCCUCCUGGGAUAACACUGACGCUCAUGCACGAAAGCGUGGGGAGCAAACAGGAUUAGAUACCCUGGUAGUCCACGCCCUAAACGAUGUCAACUAGCUGUUGGGGUCUUCGGACCUUGGUAGCGCAGCUAACGCGUGAAGUUGACCGCCUGGGGAGUAC